rnacentral:rRNA from 1 species
GACGAACGCUGGCGGCGUGCUUAACACAUGCAAGUCGAACGGAAAGGCUCCAGCUUGCUGGAGUACUCGAGUGGCGAACGGGUGAGUAACACGUGGGUAAUCUGCCCUGCACUCUGGGAUAAGCCUGGGAAACUGGGUCUAAUACUGGAUAUGACCUUUCUCCUUAUGGGGUUUGGUGGAAAGUUUUUCGGUGUGGGAUGAGCCCGCGGCCUAUCAGCUUGUUGGUGGGGUGAUGGCCUACCAAGGCGACGACGGGUAGCCGGCCUGAGAGGGUGAUCGGCCACAUUGGGACUGAGAUACGGCCCAGACUCCUACGGGAGGCAGCAGUGGGGAAUAUUGCACAAUGGGCGGAAGCCUGAUGCAGCGACGCCGCGUGAGGGAUGACGGCCUUCGGGUUGUAAACCUCUUUCAGCAGGGACGAAGCGUAAGUGACGGUACCUGCAGAAGAAGCACCGGCUAACUAGGUG